GAAAUGCGAUAAGUAGUGUGAAUUGCAGAAUUCAGUGAAUCAUCGAAUCUUUGAACGCACAUUGCGCCCCUUGGUAUUCCAUGGGGCAUACCUGUUCGAGCGUCAUUUGUACCCUCAAGCUCUGCUUGGUGUUGGGUGUUUGUCCCCGUCUCCGCGCGUGGACUCGCCCCAAAGUGAUUGGCAGCCGGCGUACUGGUCCCGGAGCGCAGCACAUGUCGCGCAAACGAGUGCCUUGGUACGGCGGCGUCCAUAAGCCCCUCUCUCACGCUCUUGACCUCGGAUCAGGUAGGGAUACCCGCUGAACUUGAGC
rnacentral:misc_RNA from 1 species